AUGGCGGCGGCUCUCGGCGUGGCGGCCACGCUCCUCGGCAAGGUGUUCACGAUGCCGUCGGCCGCCCCGGUGGCGGCGUACGUGGACAACCUCGAGCUCGGCCACAACUCCCAGCAGAUCAGGGCCAAGCUCGCACACACACGAGGCCUGCUGCACAACGCCCAGGCCCAGGUGAGCCACAACCCUGGACUACAGGAGCUGCUGGCGGCGCUGAGCAGGAACGCAGACCAGGCGAAGAACCUGCUGGAUGAGCUCCACUACUUCCAGAUCCAUGACAAGCUCCAUGGCACCACCUACGCCAACACCCAAGAGGCCGGGCCGGAUCUGAAGGGCGUUGUCCGCCAUCAAGCUCUGCACGCCGGUAGUGCUCUUCGGCACACCCUGGGCAGCUUGGUACAGUGCUUUUCUUGCUCGCCUACACCCAAGAGUGAUGAUGCCGUUGCACCACGCCGCGUCACCAACACCCUAGGCAGCUUGCUCCAGUGCUUUUCUUGCUCCUGUACACCCAAGAGCAAGAGGAAUGGUGGUGAUGAUGCUGCUGCUGCUGUUACCGGCGUUGGUGGUGAUGCUGCUGCUGCUGUUGCCGGCGUCAACAACUCCAACUCUGCUAGUGCUGAUGAUGGCAGUGAUACGCUGCAUUUUGACAGAGUGUUCAUGUCCAGAGAAAUCAAGUCCGUGUUAGAGGGCAUGCAGUCCCACUGUGAUUUGGUCUCCAAUUUGCUCGCCACUAUCCCAAGCAACAGCACGGCAGUCGUCGUCCCACAUCGGCCUCGGACUGUUUCCAUGACUUUUGAGGGAAUUGUCAAUCGGAUCACGGACACUGGUGCCACACACACUGUUUCUGUUCUUCCUAUAGUUGGUCCAGGGGGUAUUGGAAAGACAACUUUCACCACUCAUCUAUACAAUGAUGCAAGGACUAAAAAGCACUUUGAUGUCCAAGUCUGGGUAUGUGUAUCCACUGAUUUUGAUGUGCUUAAGCUCACCAGGGAGAUCCUUGCCUGCAUACCUGCCCCUGGAGAAGGAGGAAGCAGCGGUGUUGCAAAUGAAACAACCAAUUUAGAUCAUCUCCAGAGAUCCAUUCUGCGUUGUAUCAAGUCCAAGAGGUUUCUGAUUGUCUUGGAUGAUAUAUGGAAAUGUGACAGCCAGGAUCAGUGGAAAACCCUGCUAGCUCCCUUCACAAAGGGCGAAGCCAAAGGAAGCAUGGUACUUGUCACAACUCGAUUCCCAAAGGUAGCAGACAUGAUGGAAAUAGUUGAUCCACUAGAGCUGCGAGGUUUGGAGUCUAAUGUCUUCUUCACAUUCUUUGAAGCAUGUAUAUUCGGUGAAGACGACAAGCCUGAGCAUUACCAAGAUGAGUUUGCUAGUAUUGCAUGA
rnacentral:rRNA from 1 species